rnacentral:rRNA from 1 species
GAUGAACGCUGGCGGCGUGCCUAAUACAUGCAAGUCGAGCGAACGGACGAGAAGCUUGCUUCUCUGAUGUUAGCGGCGGACGGGUGAGUAACACGUGGAUAACCUACCUAUAAGACUGGGAUAACUUCGGGAAACCGGAGCUAAUACCGGAUGAUAUUUUGAACCGCAUGGUUCAAAAGUGAAAGACGGUCUUGCUGUCACUUAUAGAUGGAUCCGCGCUGCAUUAGCUAGUUGGUAAGGUAACGGCUUACCAAGGCAACGAUGCAUAGCCGACCUGAGAGGGUGAUCGGCCACCCUGGAACUGAGACACGGUCCAGAGUCCUACGGGAGGCAGCAGUAGGGAAUCGUCCGCAAUGGGCGAAAGCCUGACGGAGCAACGCCGCGUGAGUGAUGAAGGUCUUCGGAUCGUAAAACUCUGUUAUUAGGGAAGAACAUAUGUGUAAGUAACUGUGCACAUCUUGACGGUACCUAAUCAGAAAGCCACGGCUAACUACGUG